GGAGGAAGUCAGAGGCGCAGGCGGCGCGGAUGGAGGUGUCGCCGACGAUUGGAGGACGCGGACGGAGGGGCGGCACGGGCCGACGGCGUGGACAGAGGUACGGCGCAGCCGGCGCGGACGGAGGUGCCGCCGACGAUUGGAGGACGCGGACGGGUGGCGCAGACGGAGGGGCGGCACGGGCGGACGGCGUGGACGGAGGUACGGCGCUGGCGGCGCGAACGGAGGUGCCGCCGACGAUUGGAGGACGCGGACGGGCGGCGCAGACGGAGGGCACGCGGGCGGACGGCCGGCGUGGACGGAGGUGCGGCGCUGGCGGGCGGCGCGGACGAUGCUGGCGAGUUCGGCGAAUCGCGGCGGCGCGAGCGAUGACUGGGCGGCGCCAGCGCCCAGCGGUGGCAGAGGAGUCGGGAGAGUUUCUU
rnacentral:lncRNA from 1 species